rnacentral:lncRNA from 1 species
AUGGCGGCGGCCCUGCGGAGGGUGUGCAGCGGAGUGACUUCGAGAGUUUCUCUUCUGAACUGCAGCCGACAGACACUGCAGCGCAGCAUCAACACUGGUCGUGGCUUCCUGCCCCGGCUUCGGCCCCUCCCUCUCCUUCUAGUGACAGGUGGUGGUUACCUUGGUUACCAUCACUUCAGGACAAGGGACCAACAGGAGGAUGGAGCCCCGCCUCCUUUGGCCACACCCACACAGGUAGGAGUUAGGACUCUUUUUCCUUCUGGUUUUUCUGGUUCUGGUUCUUUCGCUGAAUUCACGUGCAUUCAGGCAAAUCGAUCAUGUCAUAUUUUUUUGGCUAAACAAAGUUGGCAGCUAGCCACAUAGCUUGCUAAGAUAAUAUAGGCAUUUAGCAGAUACAUCUGUCCAAAGCAACUUACAAUAGAUACAUUUGUCGCAUGACAGACAUGUCACAGUCAAUAGACUAAAAAGAAUAAUGGAAACAAUUGUAAAGCCUUCAUCUGAGCAUCGUGGCUGCUAUUUAUCAAGGAUACUUUAAGUGUAAGCGAGUUUAAGUGCUAUGAUUAGAGUGCUAUUGAUAAGAACAUUAAGAACACUUUUUAUACUUAUACGUUUUAAUAUAGCCCAACACUGGUCCAGCAGCUCGGUGCUGACCCUGAACACGUCCUGUGUGACUACAGUGCCGUGUUGACCCACGCUCGAUGCUGACCCUGAACACGUCCUGUGUGACUACAGUGCCGUGUUGACCCACGCUCGGUGCUGACCCUGAACACGUCCCGUGUGACUACAGUGCCGUGUUGACCCACGCUCGAUGCUGACCCUGAACACGUCCCGUGUGACUACAGUGCCGUGUUGACCCACGCUCGGUGCUGACCCUGAACACGUCCCGUGUGACUACAGUGCCGUGUUGACCCACGCUCGGUGCUGACCCUGAACACGUCCUGUGUGACUACAGUGCCGUGUUGACCCACGCUCGGUGCUGACCCUGAACACGUCCUGUGUGACUACAGUGCCGUGUUGACCCACGCUCGGUGCUGACCCUGAACACGUCCUGUGUGACUACAGUGCCGUGUUGACCCACGCUCGGUGCUGACCCUGAACACGUCCCGUGUGACUACAGUGCCGUGUUGACCCACGCUCGGUGCUGACCCUGAACACGUCCUGUGUGACUACAGUGCCGUGUUGACCCACACUCGGUGCUGACCCUGAACACGUCCUGUGUGACUACAGUGCCGUGUUGACCCACGCUCAGUGCUGACCCUGAACACGUCCUGUGUGACUACAGUGCCGUGUUGACCCACACUCGAUGCUGACCCUGAACACGUCCUGUGUGACUACAGUGCCGUGUUGACCCACGCUCGAUGCUGACCCUGAACACGUCCUGUGUGACUACAGUGCCGUGUUGACCCACACUCGAUGCUGACCCUGAACACGUCCUGUGUGACUACAGUGCCGUGUUGACCCACACUCGAUGCUGACCCUGAACACGUCCUGUGUGACUACAGUGCCGUGUUGACCCACACUCGAUGCUGACCCUGAACACGUCCUGUGUGACUACAGUGCCGUGUUGACCCACGCUCGGUGCUGACCCUGAACACGUCCUGUGUGACUACAGUGCCGUGUUGACCCACGCUCAGUGCUGACCCUGAACACGUCCUGUGUGACUACAGUGCCGUGUUGACCCACACUCGGUGCUGACCCUGAACACGUCCUGUGUGACUACAGUGCCGUGUUGACCCACGCUCGGUGCUGACCCUGAACACGUCCUGUGUGACUACAGUGCCGUGUUGACCCACGCUCGGUGCUGACCCUGAACACGUCCCGUGUGACUACAGUGCCGUGUUGACCCACGCUCAGUGCUGACCCUGAACACGUCCUGUGUGACUACAGUGCCGUGUUGACCCACACUCGGUGCUGACCCUGAACACGUCCUGUGUGACUACAGUGCCGUGUUGACCCACGCUCAGUGCUGACCCUGAACACGUCCUGUGUGACUACAGUGCCGUGUUGACCCACACUCGAUGCUGACCCUGAACACGUCCUGUGUGACUACAGUGCCGUGUUGACCCACGCUCGAUGCUGACCCUGAACACGUCCUGUGUGACUACAGUGCCGUGUUGACCCACACUCGAUGCUGACCCUGAACACGUCCUGUGUGACUACAGUGCCGUGUUGACCCACACUCGAUGCUGACCCUGAACACGUCCUGUGUGACUACAGUGCCGUGUUGACCCACACUCGAUGCUGUAUGUGCUCACUGGGUGAAAGGUGACAGUGAUGUCACAGUGAUGAGGUCACAGUGUCAAUGUCACUCUGCUCCCUGCACUGACACAUCACUCAGUCAGGCCCCGCCCCUCUUCCCACUUCCACACCUGCCUCCUGAUUGGUUCAUUCAUUGGGAAAAUGGUCUGAUUUGUUGAUGAUUAACCGGGCAGGACAGAGGGAGGC